rnacentral:rRNA from 1 species
UACGUAGGGUCCGAGCGUUGUCCGGAAUCAUUGGGCGUAAAGAGCGUGUAGGCGGCCCGAUAAGUCCGCUGUGAAAGUCCAGGGCUCAACCCUGGAAUGCCGGUGGAUACUGUCGGGCUCGAGUUCGGAAGAGGUGAGUGGAAUUCCUGGUGUAGCGGUGAAAUGCGCAGAUAUCCGGAGGAACACCGGUGGCGAAGGCGGCAUCCUGGACCGACACUGACACUGAGGAGCGAAAGCCAGGGGAGCAAACGGG